rnacentral:tRNA from 1 species
UGCGCUUGUGGCGAAAUUGGUAGACGCGCUAGACUUAGGAUCUAGUGGUUUAGGCCGUGUAGGUUCGAGUCCUAUCAGGCGCACCC